rnacentral:tRNA from 1 species
GCCCCCGUAGCUCAGGUGGAUAGAGCACCGGCCUCCGGAGCCGGGUGCGAGCGUUCGAGUCGCUCCGGGGGUACCU